GAAACAUGAUGGUGUUUAUGACGUCGAUAUUCGACCUCAUAAACACCAAACUUGAUAGUGUUUAUGAGGUCGAAUAUCGACGUCAUAAACACGAAAC
rnacentral:miRNA from 1 species